AGUGUUCAAAGCACAGUACAAUAUAAAUGCAGUAUCUGGCAUCAUUGGUUUUUUGGUUUCAUGCAUAUUAAACCCAGUAUUUUUAUUGAUACACUA